UAGGGAGUGAGGUAGGCAAAUCCGCCUCACACAUAUCCUGAGACCUGAUAGUGACCGCGUAUGCGGGAAGCAGGGUGAUCCUAUGCUGCCAAGAAAAUCCUCUAGCGAGGUUCUAGCCGCCCGUACCCCAAACCGACUCAGGUGGUUAGGUAGAGAAUACCAAGGCGAUCGAGUGAAUCGUAGUUAAGGAAUUCGGCAAAAUGCCCCCGUAACUUCGGGAGAAGGGGGGCCCGGAUUCUGAAGUCCAUACGGACUAGGAUGAUGGGCCGCAGAGACCAGGGAGAAGCGACUGUUUACUAAAAACACAGGUCCGUGCGAAGUUGCAAAACGAUGUAUACGGACUGACGCCUGCCCGGUGCUGGAAGGUUAAGAGGACGGGUUAGACGCAAGUCGAAGCUCAGAAUUUAAGCCCCAGUAAACGGCGGUGGUAACUAUAACCAUCCUAAGGUAGCGAAAUUCCUUGUCGGGUAAGUUCCGACCUGCACGAAUGGCGUAACGACUUCUCCACUGUCUCAACUGCGAACUCGGCGAAAUUGCAUUACGAGUAAAGAUGCUCGUUACGCGCAGCAGGACGGAAAGACCCCGGGACCUUUACUAUAGCUUGGUAUUGGUGUUCGGUACGGCUUGUGUAGGAUAGGUGGGAGACUAUGAAGCAUGCACGCCAGUGUGUGUGGAGUCAACGUUGAAAUACCACUCUGGUCGUUCUGGAUAUCUAACCUCGGUCCGUGAUCCGGAUCAGGGACAGUGCCUGGUGGGUAGUUUAACUGGGGCGGUUGCCUCCCAAAAUGUAACGGAGGCGCUCAAAGGUUCCCUCAAUCUGGUUGGCAAUCAGAUUUCGAGUGUAAGUGCACAAGGGAGCUUGACUGUGAGACUGACAGGUCGAACAGGGACGAAAGUCGGAACUAGUGACCCGACGGUGGCUCGUGGAAGCGCCGUCGCUCAACGGAUAAAAGGUACCCCGGGGAUAACAGGCUGAUCUUGCCCAAGAGUCCAUAUCGACGGCAUGGUUUGGCACCUCGAUGUCGGCUCGUCGCAUCCUGGGGGUGGAGUUGCUCCCAAGGGUUGGGCUGUUCGCCCAUUAAAGCGGUACGCGAGCUGGGUUUAGAACGUCGUGAGACAGUUCGGUCCCUAUCCGCUGCGCGCGCAGGAAACUUGAGAAAGGCUGUCCCUAGUACGAGAGGACCGGGAUGGACGAACCUCUGGUGUGUCAGUUGUCUUGCCAAGGGCACGGCUGAUUGGCUACGUUCGGAAGUGAUAACCGCUGAAAGCAUCUAAGCGGGAAGCACGUUUCAAGAUGAGGUCUCCAUGGGCGCAAGCCCGAGAGGCUCCCAGUAGACUACUGGGUUGAUAGGCCAGACGUGGAAGUGCAGCAAUGCAUGUAGCUGACUGGUACUAAUAGGCCGAUAACUUGAU
rnacentral:rRNA from 1 species